CCCUGUUCUCCAUCUUUUUACGCGAACCUAUAAACCUUUUCUUCUUCCCUCAAUUUCUUCUCCCACACCCAACCCAAAACCUAUCAAUCAAUCAAAUUUUUUUCAAGUCUUCCAAACCCAGAGCCCUCUUCUUCUCACUCAAUCGAUUUAAACCAGAAACCCUUCAUCAUUUUUCACUCACCCAGUCUCCAUCUUUCUCCUCAAUCGAUCGAACCCAAAAACCCUUACUCUUCUCUUCCAUAGUCACUCAAUCUCACUUAUUGACCCUAAAACCCAGAAGCUCAACUCGUUUGAACCAGAAUCUAUAACUCGUUAAAACCCCAAAACCAUCGCCCCAUCGUUCUAGAGUUCGUUGAACCCAGAAACUCUUCAUCGUGUUUGCAUCGUUCACCAUUAUUCAUCGCAAUUGAACCUCGUCUCAGUCAUUAGAUGUUAGCUGAUUUAAGAUGUUCUCCAUGGCACCGUAUCACUUUGUCCUCCCGAUUGUUUUCCGUACAAAUGAACACUGGAUAUCAUGUUUAAAAUUAAACAACAGGAUUUACUAGGCUAUGGAGAGGCACAAAUGCAGGCCUGGCUCUUGCAGUAUUGACUGUUGGAAUUUACCUUCCUUGCUAUGACAUAUUCCGCAACUGGUUUGAGGAAGACACAAGCAAAAGUGCUCCAACCGCAUCUCCAUAUGUACCUUUAGUGGCUGGUUCGUUGGCACGCUCACUUUCUUGUGCAACUUGUUAUCCUAUUGACCUUCUCAGAACUCACAUGCAGUACAAGGUUAUCAUGUCUUGUGGACAGACACUUGAGCCUGGAUCAUGUCAGAGCUUAAACUUAAACUUUCAGCCCAAGCCAUAUACUAGAGAUCAAGUUCAUGAAGAUGAUGUGGCUGAUGAUAAUGAUGAUAUGUCUGAUGAUGGUGAAGAAUUAGAUCAAGAUUGAUAAGUGUAGCAGUGUGACGUUCUUUUUGUAGUUGUUUUUUGAGUUAGGAUAUUGACUUUUUGUAUGCAAGAAUUAUUCCCCCUUUUGUAUGUGUCUGAUGAUGGUGAAGAUCAAUUCACUUGUGAUACUUGCAAGUGUAGGUAGUAGUGAUAAUUUAGUCUUAGUCUUGGUUAUGUUUGGUUGAUUAUGUACUUUUGGAUAAGGGUAACAUUUAAAUAUAAAUAUAUUAUGUUUA